GACGAACGCUGGCGGCGUGCUUAACACAUGCAAGUCGAACGGAAAGGCCAUGCUUUUGUGGGGCGCUCGAGUGGCGAACGGGUGAGUAACACGUGUGUAACCCGCCCUUGACUUUGGGAUAACUUCAGGAAACUGGGGCUAAUACAGGAUAGGAGCUCCUGCUGCAUGGUGGGGGAUGGAAAGUUUCGGCGGUUGGGGCUGGACUCGAGGCUUAUCAGCUUGUUGGGGGGGUAGUGGCUUACAAAGGCUUUGACGGCUAGCCGGCCUGGGAGAGUGACCGGCCACAUUGGGACUGAGGUACGGCCCAGAAUCCUACGGGCGGCAGUAGUGGGGAACAUUGCACAGUGGGGGGAAGCCAGUUGCAGCAACGCCGCGUGCGUGAUAAUGGCCUUCUGGUUGUAAACCGCUUUCGCCGGUGACGAAGCGUGAGUGACGGUAAUUGGUAAAGAAGCACCGGCUAACUACGUG
rnacentral:rRNA from 1 species